UACGUAGGGUGCGAGCGUUGUCCGGAAUUACUGGCGUAAAGAGCUCGUAGGUGGUUGUCGCGUUGUUCGUGAAAACUCACAGCUCAACUGUGGGCGUGCGGGCGAUACGGGCAGACUGGAGUACUGCAGGGAGACUGGAAGUUCCUGGUGUAGCGGUGGAAUGCGCAGAUAUCAGGAGGAACACCGGUGGCGAAGGCGGGUCUCUGGGCAGUAACUGACGCUGAGGAGCGAAAGCGUGGGAGCGAACAGG
rnacentral:rRNA from 1 species